rnacentral:rRNA from 1 species
UACGUAGGGUGCGAGCGUUUGUCCGGAAUUAUUGGGCGUAAAGGGCUCGUAGGCGGUUUGUCGCGUCGGGAGUGAAAACACUGGGCUUAACUCAGUGCUUGCUUUCGAUACGGGCAGACUAGAGGUAUGCAGGGGAGAACGGAAUUCCUGGUGUAGCGGUGAAAUGCGCAGAUAUCAGGAGGAACACCGGUGGCGAAGGCGGUUCUCUGGGCAUUACCUGACGCUGAGGAGCGAAAGUGUGGGGAGCGAACAGG